AAGCUGCAUCAUUAGGGUCCCGUGUCAGUGAUUACCACUACAUCAAUUUAACAAUGGAGUUGAGCAGCUGGUUUGCCACCGUGUUACGUUUUCUCCUUCUUCUGCCAUUCAUAGCAAUGUCGGUGGCGAGAGAUGUUUUGGGUGUAUUUAUACCUUCCCUUAAGCCAGACCCCAUUUCUGAACACAAGCCACACAUGCAUGGUACAGAAGAAACAUUCCACAACAGAUAGUCGGAACACGUUCCCGUAACACCGGUGUGACCACAACCUAUUCCCUGUAUGCGCUAAAGAAUUUCUUUGUUGUUACCUAGGAACAUAUAUCAUAUCUUCAAAAAAAUACUAGCAUUUGAAAAGCAAAUAGAAUGUUAAUAAUCUCUGCUAUAUCGUGUUAAAAAAAUUAUUGAUCAUUUCAAAGGAAAACUUUGUCGUUUUAAUUACCUGUGAACUGAUCUACAUGUAUCGCCCGAAUUGUUUCUUUUCUGUGGGGUGGAAUUUGCCCAUUCCUCCCAAUAUUGUAGCUGCAGAAUAUUUCAAAUGCUGUUUUACGUGUUGAAGAUUUUUCAUACAUACCAGCAAGAAAGAAAAAUGUUUCGAACAUUCGAGCCGAUUCCUUUACAGAAUUUCGUAAAAUUGUAUUUACGCUCUUUGCAAAUACAUGUACAGCACGAACUGCCUCAUUUAUGGAUCUUGCCAGAAUUGUUCAUUGCCUAUUUAAAAUAAAUUACAAUUAAUUAA